rnacentral:rRNA from 1 species
UACGGGGGGGGCAAGCGUUGUUCGGAAUUACUGGGCGUAAAGGGCCAGUAGGCGGCCAACUAAGUCCGACGUGAAAUCCCCAGGCUUAACCUGGGAACUGCGUCGGAUACUGGAUGGCUUGAAUUCGGGAGAGGGAUGCAGAAUUCCAGGUGUAGCGGUGAAAUGCGCAGAUAUCAGGAGGAACACCGGUGGCGAAGGCGGGUCUCUGGGCCGACACUGACGCUGAGGAGCGAAAGCGUGGGGAGCGAACAGG